GGAUGUGAGGGCAAUCUAGCUGCGACAUAUGUCACCCCAUUGAUCACCAUGGUUGAUUUGGCUGAUCUGGUUGGCUAGGUGAGUGUCCCCUUCCUUCUUCACUGCUUCAUGUGUGUCUGUCCUGAAGCUGUGUGCUUGGUCGAAGAAGACGAGCUUUCUGGGAUAGAGGAGGAUUGGGCUUUGGCCAGGUGUAUACAAGUAGCUGUGCUCCCCUGCUAGAACCUCCAAAAAUAUUUAUAUGUAUGUUUGCCUGCAUAAGUUAUGUGCACCAUGUGCAUGCAGUGCCCACAGAGGCCAGAAGGGGGCAUGGGAUCCUUU
rnacentral:snRNA from 1 species